UUUUUUCUUGGUUACCUUCACAAAGAGGUGUGUAAAGAGCACACCUGAUGUGGAUCCAAUUAAAAUUAGCCAGCUGUAUUAUUUAUUUCUCUUUUUAAUUUACAGAUUUGGUUUAUAAACUUNNNNNNNNNNNNNNNUUUUUUUUCACAAAAAAAAAAAAAUUGUUUCUAUCACCUAGAGAACAGAGAACACGCUUCAUCUUCUUUCUCUGGUUUUUCUUUGUUUCCUAUUCUUCUUCUCCAUACCCAUUUUCUUGUUUCGUACAAGUUGAAUUUCAAUUCAUCAUCUUACGAAUCAAACUUGAAUCAAACUUGUGUUCAUCGAAUUAGCAUCCUACACAAAUCAACCAAUCUCUACCACAACAUUUACAAGUAAGUUACUCUAUCUCUUGAUUUUUUGGGUUUUUCACUUCCUUUAGUUUUAGGUUAGUUUUGUUUGUGUUUGGUGCUUUGAUUUGUUACCGAAUUUUGCACCGU
rnacentral:lncRNA from 1 species